rnacentral:lncRNA from 10 species
CCGGCCGGCGGCGGGGAGGUCGCGGGGCCGGGAGGCGCGAGGUUGUUCGAGAAGCUGAAAUAGAAAUCAAUUUCUUGAUUUCAGUAGGAAUAGUGAGUCCCUAAGAGGGGAGAAGCCAGCCUGGGUGGCCACACAUCCGUGUCUGUCUGCAGGUGUGUGUGUGGUGGCAUAUGUUGGUAAAAACACUGUGGAUUCCCAGGCAAGAUGGCUGAAUAGGAAGAGCUCCAGUCUGCAGCUCCCAGCUAGACCAGUGCAGAAGGUGCUGAGCCAGGUGUUCUACAUAAAUUAUCUCAUUUGUUUUUUCUGACAACAUAAUAAGAAAAAGAAAAACAUCCAUUCAUGAGAGUUCAGGGAUACGUGAAAAUGAAGCAAAUGAGGAAAGACCCAUUCACAUUCCUCCAAAAGAUCUGUGGCUCACUGGAAUCAUGUUACUGGCUCCUGGUAGUCCCUGACUUUACCUGUUUGUUCCAGGAACUUGCUUUAUGGCCAUUUGUUCUAAUGAUCAGUUUGGACAACCAACCUUUAUUCCUCCACCUCAGACAAUAUUCAACAUCCUGUAAUCAUCAUAGCGGAUCCCUUCGUUUGAGGUAGGAUAUGGAAUCGCAUCCACUCUGAUUUGUUGCCAGCAGUGUUCUCCAACUUAAUUAUCCUCUGUGAUCCACACUAAAGUAUUUUGAAGAAUAACAAAGCUCUCCAAGGGUCUUAAUACAGUUCUGGAGGUCAGUAAGUCCAAUAUCAAGGUGCCAGCAUCAGGCAUUAUGGCCAGCACACUUCCUGCGAAUUUGUACCACCACCCCUUAUCUCAUCUAUGCUUCUGCUCACAGCACUGCACUGGAGCCAGGGGAUGGAUACCUGGCACUUGUAUGUCCUAUGAAGAAAGAGAGGAGGAUACAUUGCUUCCCUAUGUAUCCUUAAGGGAUAGACCAGAGGAAAAGUUAAGUAAUAGAUAAACAAUCAAUAAUACCUAAUUGGUUUCCCAAUCAAUUAGCACUUACUGUGUUGGAUUUGUUCACUUUCAGCCAUAGUUACACCUUGAAUUUCUGUAUUUCCAAAGUGGGCUCUUUUUUUUCUAAGGAAUUUCCUCAAUUUUUUCGUGUAAGUAGGCUUCUGAGGAGUCUAUUUCACUGAUUUUUGUGAUAUAUUUAAUCAUUCCAGGGCUACAAAAUUUAAGCUGAAUUUAAAUUAUUCAUAAUAUAACAAUCUCUCUUCCUCUGUCUCUCUUUCUUUCUAUAUCUUUCAUUACAUAUAUGUAAUAAAAUAUUUUCAUUAUAUAUCUGUAUAUCUUUUAUAGAAAUCUUUUCAUUAUAUAUUUCAUAUAUAUUCAUGUAUCUUUCAUACAUU